rnacentral:lncRNA from 1 species
ACAAUCAAUAUACAUGCCGACAACUACAACUUAGAAGGAAAUCCAGUAAUUCCGGUAGCUUAACAUUCAACACACCUCUCGCGCAACUCCACGGCAGUAAAAAGGUCACGAAGUUGCUGGGAGCCUCAGCUGAAAUCACCCACAACCAGCAACUAUGCUACUCGAAGAAUCUAACCAAUAAAAACACCAAAAUCUCAAUACUAUACUCAAAUUCAGCAUUUAAGCUAGAAUUCACCUCAAUCACAAUGUCAACUUCACGUUCCAAUCUUCAAAUCUG